rnacentral:lncRNA from 1 species
AUUUGAUAUACAGAUAAGGUCUUCUGUCCUGCUUAUCUCUUUCUAAAAUUAUUAAGUGCUUUGAUGACCUUUUGAGGAAUAGUGUGCAAUUCUAAGUAGUGUUCAAACAGUGAAUGGCAGCACUUAAUAACAGCAGAAGGACUCAGGAAAUCCAAAGGAGCACAUUAGCAUGUCAUAAAGCUCUGGAAGUAAUUUACCUGAUUCUGAGACGUUAUUUAUACUCAAAGUGCUGCUUCCAUGAAAAGAGUAGAAAAUUAAACGACAAAAAAUUUGUUUAUUAUAGCUAAGACAUUUAAAUCAAAUAGCAAACCAAAAUUUGGGGAUUUUUUUUCAUAUUAGUUAACUUUUCUACCACCUAUUUAGAGCAGAUUCCUACACAUAGAAGAUGGCAUAAUCUGUAUGUGUCUUGCACCUACCAGGAGGUGAGCAGUUAUCCCUGUUGUCUUUGAAUCAAAAUAAAGCAAAAACCAAGAAAAGUCAUGACCAAGAGAAAAAUAAGACAUCAGUAUAGUUCAAAGGCUUUGCAUCACCAUAGGCAGCCAACAAAAAUUAGGUUAACUCUUCCUCAAGAAAACAAAUCUCAUUAGCCAGUAGUCCAUCAUAUAACAAAUUUUAGGAUGAGUAUUGAACUACUUACUACCUGUAGCCAUCAUCAGUUACCUUGGGAAUAAUCAUUCAAUGAAUGUAAGAAGAUAAAUCUAGAUGGUAUUUGUAUAAAACAAUGGGACUUUUCUUGCCCAUGUUAUUUUUUAAAAUUUUUUAAUUAAAAAAAUUUUUUUUGGUCUUUUGUCUUUUCAGGGCCAUACCCGCAGCAUAUGGAGGUUCCCAGGCUAGGGGUCUAAUCGGAGCUGUAGCCGCCGGCGUACACCAGAGCCAUAGCAACGCCAGAUCCAAACCCUGUCUGUGACCUACACCACAGCUCACAGCAACGCCAGAUCCUUAAUCCAAUGAGCAAGGUGAGGGAUCUAACCCUCAACCUCCUUGUCAGAUUUGUUUCCACUGUGCCAUGAUGGGAACUCCUCUAGUGUUAUUUUUUCCUUUCUCUGAAUAUUUAAUUAGUAGUAGCUUCUGUUCCCAUGACAUAUUGGGAUUCAUGAUAAGCCUCUGUCCAUGUACAAAUGCAUCACUAGACAGAAGGGUUAUCAACACAUGUAUUGUUUCUCUAUUUGUUUUUGUUAUAUAUGUGUAUUUGUGGUUCUAUAAUUCAUAAGACAUAUACAUAAAUAAGUGGUCAAUGCAAAGGCAGAAACAUAGGGCCUUAGGAACUUCUCUCUUUAUAUCCACCUCCUCUUUCACUCUACCUACUUUUUGAAAAUCCAGUUUCCAUGUCAUCACUUUUUAUUUUUUCCCCUUCACAGUUGAAUUUCAGCUCAUUUUCCCCUCUACUCAAUUCAGAUAGAAUCUAGAGGAUUGUACUAUUUUAUUUCUGUCCUUCGCUUCUAACUGUCCUUCUCUGCAGCAGAAAAGAGUCCAAGGAUGUGCUUAGGUAUCAUUACUGGAUUACUCUUCCCAAAACAGUAAUAAAAGUAUAGCUUAUCUUUUAGACCAACUGCAAGUUGGCUCAUUGUUUCUUAGCCAAUUGAUUGCAUUUUAUUCUCUGUCCUUCCCUGUACACAAAGUACCUCUAUGGUAUAAGAUGAGGGUAGAGACAGUUGAAGAGAAGUGUAAAAGUGUUUCCAUUUGUUUCCUACUGUUAGUAAAGUAGAAUGUUUUCAUUCAAUAAUCCUAGAGCACCUAGUGCUGUUUACUAACAUAAACUAAGUUUUCUUGUGAUUUUCUACCUGAAGAAAUCUAAGAUAUGAAAGAGACUAAUUGGAAGUAAGCAAAUCUGGACUGUUUUUUAAGUUCUUAAGUUCUAGCAAACUUGGAGAAGUUACUUAACUCCUUUGCAUCUGUUUCCUCUUCUGUAAGAUAAGUAAUGUAAUUGUUAUGUAUUACAGAUUAAUUUUUAAACUGAAGAACAUGUUAUGGUGGUAAUAGCAUGAUAUCUGAUGUUUACAUGUUGACAGUAAGCUAUAUUAUGUCAGAAAGACUGAUUUCUUUUUUUUAUUGGCUUAAGUUUUGAGUUAGUUCCCUUCUUGGCCAUCAGCUCUAACCAUAGACCUUCAUUAUAUCAUCCUGUAACAUCCUAGGUUUCUAUUAGAGGCUUCAAGGAAUUACUCCUAAAAUGUUAAUUAUGAAAGAAAUCUAUAGUAUAUACGGUCCAAAUCCUCUAAUGUUAUAUAUGAAGUAAUUAAUAUUUGGAUAAGUAAACAAGCUUUGUUUAGCUCUCAGACCUAGUGACUAACACAACCUGGGUUACACUUGAAAUUUUCUUACCUUCAAGUUAUGGUAUUGAUACUGCUUAUUAUAUAGGACUAUUCAAGUGAGAUGUUUGGAUGGGUUGAAAUGGUUGGGUUUAACAUGCUAAGUGUUAAACAUCUUUUAUAAAGUGACAUUCUAUGUUUGCAGCUCAAACAGGAUACACACGGAGCCCUCAGUAUCAGUCAUAGCUGAAAGGUUUUCUAGAACCUUAACAUAUGUUAAACAUUAAAGCUCUCUUACUAAAUCAGAGUUAUCUAGGGCCUAGCAAUUACAGCCUCCUGGUACUUCCAGGAAUACAUUAUCUUGCCCUAAUGGAGAGCAACUUAACCAAUGUUUCACUUCUUAAUUAGUCUUUGUUGGCCACUGAAGGGCCGAGGCUGAUGCUUAUGCUACCAGAUUCAUCUCUGGUAUUACUAAAGUCACUCUGAUAAACUCAACUAGUAAGACUAUAACAGUCUAGAUCUCAAAUGCAAUAAAGGAGCUCUACGGUCCAUCUAACCCCACAACCUUAAUUGCAGACACUCCUAUUAUAGUUUUCAUGGGGCAGAAGGAUUUUAAUUCUGUGGCUACCUAGGAACAUGGGGUGCUAUCUUGAAGAGAAAUUGUCCUUUCACAUUGCUCUGUGACAGUCCUCUAUUGUUUCUGUCUAUCACCCCAUUAAGAUGGCAACUUCAUUAGAGUAACAGUCUUAGGUGACUAAAAGUGCCCUAGGUGAAUAAUUGACUAGUCACAUAUUAUUAGGACAUAUUUCAUGCAAGACUGCGGCCUGAAGAUAUGUCAUACUUUGGAAAACUCAAUAUGAAACUAAACAAACUUUAACUUAUAAGCAAAUAAAUUGGAUAUCUGAGUUCCCAGUGGGAGGGCUGAUUAUUCAAAUUUUAGAGUUUUAUCACUUUAAAAAUGGUUCAGUACUGAGAUUCUUUAUAAAGUGCCCAUGGGAAUGUAUAUGUAACUUUCAUUAUUAAAAAUCCAAUAAACACAGUUGUUCAGGAAGCAAUCCAUUGUGCAGAGUAAGGCAUACAUACACAAUUUUUGGGUACUUCUUUUGGCUUAAACAUUGAGAAAAUCAAACCUUUGCAUACUAUCAGAAUUACAGAUUCAUUUGUGAUCCUUAUCAAUGGAUCAAGCCAAGAGCUGUGUAGUUUUUAAGAAGGUGGAUAUAUAUAGAGAGAGGUAUACUAUAUAUAUACCUCUAUUUGUUCAGGAUAAUCCCAGUUUAUAUAAGUUGUUUCAAAGCAAUUAUUAAUAGUGCCUCAAAAAUGUCCUAGUUUGGAUUAUGUGGUCACCUUAUUGUUAGAUUGCUUUACAAUGAAAUAAGCUCAUUGUUAGCUUGAAUACAGAAUGCCAUUACACAAAUAAAAUUCAGCUAGGACUAAAAGCAAAGCCAUUAGGACAUUCAUUCAUUAGUUCAUUAUGUAUUAUUCAAACUUAAGCAAGUAUUCCUUAGGCAUUGUGUGUCAAUAUUUUUUUUUUCUUUUUAGGGCUGAACCCAUGGCUUAUGGAAUUUCCCAGGCUAGGGGUCAAAUUGGAGCUGCAGCUGCUGGCCUAUGCCACAGCCACAGCAAUGCCAAAUCCAAACCAUGUCUGCAACCUACACCACAGCUCAUGGUAAUGCCGGAUCUUCUAACUCACUGAACAAGGCCAGGGAUUGAACCCACAUAUUCAUGGAUACUAGUUGCUUACCACUGAGCCAUAACGGGAACUCCAAUAAAUAUUUCUAAACAAUUUAUUGAGCCUUGAGGAUACCAAAGAUCCAAACGUGAUUUUGGACAAAGCAUAUAUGUAUGUUGUAUGUUUCAUUUAACAUUUAAUAAGAGAGAUUGCAAUUUACAUUGUAUAAAAAAAGGGAAUGGGUUUAUCAAGGUUUCGUAUCUUGCUUAUUAUUACACAGUAAUAUACAUGGAAAAAUUGAAAUUCAUAGGCACUCAUCAUUAAAAUUUUUACUUAUACCUCCAUGAUUUUACCGUUUAGGCGUAAUUGAGAGAUGCAUGAAAGGACCUUGUACUAGUAUAUGGGAGAGAAUGGAGAGAAAUGAUAAUGAAAAAGGAAUAGGUAGAGCCCUUCUCAAUGUAGCAGCUUUCUCAGCUCUUGGGACCAUCCAAUGGGAGGGCUUAUCUAGGUCCUACCAGGGAAAGUGGGACCCAUGUGGAUAUGCUAACAUGGAUAACAUCUAUCCAGCCCACUGAAAGAUCUGCAGUUACACAAGUACUUCAUCAUGUUGGGCUGUAUUUCAUUUACUGUUCAAAUCACCCUUCCCAAAGUUACCUCCUUUACUCCAUGGAAAUCCCUACCCUCUUGCCAACCCUGUCCUUCAGCCUUCAAAAGAAGAAUAUUAUUUCUGUAAAUGUGCAACUGUUUCUAAAAUUAUGAGUAAAGUACAAAAGAAACAGAAC